rnacentral:lncRNA from 1 species
AGAGUGACUGCCGAAGGCUGCGGAAAGGUGCUGCCUAGAGGGGAUGCAGAUUCCUGACUGAGCUCAGCACUGGUCUUUCCGGUCACGUGCUUUACGGAGCAGCUGCUAGACGCGUUAUUGCUAGGCAACGCUUGCAGGAGCCUAUGCUGGAUCCCUGUAGAGUAGGAUCUGGGCACCGCGGGCCGACAUGGACCAGUAUUGCAUCCUCGGUCGCAUCGGGGAGGGCGCCCACGGCAUCGUCUUCAAAGCCAAGCACGUAGAGGUGAGACCAUGCCGCACGUGCAGUCCGAGGGAUGCCCACUGCGCUCCCUCUGCAGUCUUUCCGUGUAGAGAUCUGCUAGCGCGCGCGGGCGCGCCUCAGAGGUCUCUUUAGGAUACUUGGCGGGGUCCCAUCUGUGGCGAUCCCGCUUCCAGCGGCCGGACUGCGGGAGCGCGACCCCUGGCGGUCGGUUCAGAUCUUCCCGACUUAGGGGCGGGUCUCUGUGGGGUGUCUCGCUCCUGGGGUGUUCUCUCCCUGCCCCUACCUUGCCAAAGGUCUCUGGCAGUGUCGGCACUCUUUCCUGCACAGACUGGCGAGAUCGUUGCCCUCAAGAAGGUGGCCUUGCGGCGGCUGGAGGAUGGUAUUCCUAACCAGGCCCUCAGAGAAAUCAAGGCUCUGCAGGAGAUAGAGGACAGUCAAUAUGUGAGUGGGGCUGGGCUCAGGUGGUCAUGCAGGGCUCGGGUGAACAAGACCGGUGGCAGGUUCCAAGACAGCAGCUUCUCGACCACUUUCAUUCAUUUCCAUCCCUCUCUACUCACCAGUAUACACUUUAAAGGAGUCCUUUCUAAUCCCCAUUCUGCCCCCUCCUGCUUACUCCUUAUUUAUGCUCCCAGAUCCACUCUCACCUGAGUACUUAACCCUCCCAUUCUCUCUCAUUUACACACCCAUUGCUCAUAUGUUUAUGCAUCCCCCCCCCUUUAACUAUUGUGUGUGUUUCUUUUUGUUUUCUCCUUUCCUUCCUAUACCUGCUCUCCCACCUUCCUUAUGCUAGACAGGUGCUGGGCCAUUAAAUUAUGCCCCUAACCAUGCUGACUUCUCAGCAGUUUGCACCCGUUGAGCCCCUACUUUGUUCUGAAGGAUAUCUUAAAGACUUUCAUGUGUGGUCACCCUCCGUUCACCCUGCUUUUCUCUCUUUCUUUCUUCCUUUCUUCCUUCCUUUCUCUUUCUCUCUCUUUCUCUCUCUCUCCCUCUUUCUUUCUUUCUUUCUUUCUUUCUUUCUUUCUUUCUUUCUUUCUUUCUUUCUUUCUUUCUUUCUUUCUUUCUUUCUUUCUUUCUUUCUUUCUCUUCAGGGUCUUUGUUAAGCACAGGGGAAUGCUUGGCUUUUAUCAUCAGCUCAUGGGUCUGCAGCUGAGUGACACUGCCAGAAUGCCCCUGGGGCCUCCUAAAAAUUCUGGCCUGUACACAGCACUAGUGACACUGAGGAAUUGGUCUCAGUCUGAUUCCUGAGAGCUUAUGUGUGAUGGAAUCAGUUUGUGUGCUCCUGUAUUGUGAAGUGUAGUGGUGUGUGCCUCAAAAUUUACUGCAGAUGAGAUAUGUGUUCAUACCUCAUCUUUAUAACAUGAGAUAUGUGUUUAUAUAUGUGUACUGUGUGUAACAUGUGUACUGUCUGAAUGUAGGUGUGUAUUUUUAUUUGUUCCAAUGCUGGUUUACUGCCAAAAUAAAACCUUCACUAAGGUGGUUCCUUUUUGUUGUUGUUGAAAAUAAAAGGGCUUUCCAGGCAGCUUAUGUGUGGGACAGGUGGUUCAAGACCCAUAAGGAUGCUGAUGAUUGACAGCCGUCCUGACGUUGCCAUUUUACCUGGUUAAUUAAUUUAUAUUUAACUUUAUGCGUAGGAACAUUUUGCAUGUGUUUAUGUGUGUGUACUGUGUGUGUGCCUUGUGCCCAUUGAGGCCAGAAGAGGGCAUCAUAUUCCCUGGAACUGGAGACGGAUGGUUGUGAGCCACUAUGUGGAUGCUGGGAACCAAAUCUGGGUCCUCUCCAGGAGCGUCAAGUACUCUUAACCAUUGAACUGUCUCUCUAGUCCCAAGUUUUCAUU